rnacentral:misc_RNA from 1 species
UCCGGUUUGUCACCGGCAGUCUCCUAUGAGUCCCCGACAUUACUCGCUGGCAACAUGGAACGAGGGUUGCGCUCGUUGCGGGACUUAACCCAACAUCUCACGACACGAGCUGACGACAACCAUGCACCACCUGUGAACCGGCCCCAAAGGGGAAACCACAUUUCUGCGGCGAUCCGGCCCAUGUCAAGCCUAGGUAAGGUUCUUCGCGUUGCAUCGAAUUAAGCCACAUGCUCCGCCGCUUGUGCGGGCCCCCGUCAAUUCCUUUGAGUUUUAAUCUUGCGACCGUACUCCCCAGGCGGAUGACUUAAUGCGUUAGCUGCGCCACCCAGGCACCAAGUGCCCGGACAGCUAGUCAUCAUCGUUUACGGCGUGGACUAC